rnacentral:rRNA from 1 species
GACGAACGCUGGCGGCGUGCCUAAUACAUGCAAGUCGAACGCUGAAGGAGGAGCUUGCUUCUCUGGAUGAGUUGCGAACGGGUGAGUAACGCGUAGGUAACCUGCCUGGUAGCGGGGGAUAACUAUUGGAAACGAUAGCUAAUACCGCAUAAUAGUAGAUGUUGCAUGACAUUUGCUUAAAAGGUGCAAUUGCAUCACUACCAGAUGGACCUGCGUUGUAUUAGCUAGUUGGUGGGGUAACGGCUCACCAAGGCGACGAUACAUAGCCGACCUGAGAGGGGGGUCGGCCACACUGGGACUGAGACACGGCCCAGACUCCUACGGGAGGCAGCAGUAGGGAAUCUUCGGCAAUGGACGGAAGUCUGACCGAGCAACGCCGCGUGAGUGAAGAAGGUUUUCGGAUCGUAAAGCUCUGUUGUCAGAGAAGAACGAGUGUGAGAGUGGAAAGUUCACACUGUGACGGUAUCUUACCAGAAAGGGACGGCUAACUACGUG